UACGGGGGGGGCAAGCGUUGUUCGGAAUUACUGGGCGUAAAGGGCUCGUAGGCGGCCAACUAAGUCGGAUGUGAAAUCCCCAGGCUCAACCUGGGAACUGCAUCCGAUACUGGAUGGCUUGAAUUCGGGAGAGGGAUGCAGAAUUCCAGGUGUAGCGGUGAAAUGCGUAGAUAUCUGGAGGAAUACCGAUGGCGAAGGCAGCAUCCUGGGCCGGCAUUGACGCUGAGGAGCGAAAGCCAGGGGAGCAAACGGG
rnacentral:rRNA from 1 species